rnacentral:rRNA from 1 species
GGGCAAUCUGCCCUUCACUCUGGGACAAGCCCUGGAAACGGGGUCUAAUACCGGAUAUGAGCCUGGGAGGCAUCUCCCGGGUUGUAAAGCUCCGGCGGUGAAGGAUGAGCCCGCGGCCUAUCAGCUUGUUGGUGAGGUAAUGGCUCACCAAGGCGACGACGGGUAGCCGGCCUGAGAGGGCGACCGGCCACACUGGGACUGAGACACGGCCCAGACUCCUACGGGAGGCAGCAGUGGGGAAUAUUGCACAAUGGGCGAAAGCCUGAUGCAGCGACGCCGCGUGAGGGAUGACGGCCUUCGGGUUGUAAACCUCUUUCAGCAGGGAAGAAGCGAGAGUGACGGUACCUGYWKAAKAAGCGCCGGCUAACUACGUGCCAGCAGCCGCGGUAAUACGUAGGGCGCAAGCGUUGUCCGGAAUUAUUGGGCGUAAAGAGCUCGUAGGCGGCUUGUCACGUCGAUUGUGAAAGCCCGAGGCUUAACCUCGGGUCUGCAGUCGAUACGGGCUAGCUAGAGUGUGGUAGGGGAGAUCGGAAUUCCUGGUGUAGCGGUGAAAUGCGCAGAUAUCAGGAGGAACACCGGUGGCGAAGGCGGAUCUCUGGGCCAUUACUGACGCUGAGGAGCGAAAGCGUGGGGAGCGAACAGGAUUAGAUACCCUGGUAGUCCACGCCGUAAACGGUGGGAACUAGGUGUUGGCGACAUUCCACGUCGUCGGUGCCGCAGCUAACGCAUUAAGUUCCCCGCCUGGGGAGUACGGCCGCAAGGCUAAAACUCAAAGGAAUUGACGGGGGCCCGCACAAGCGGCGGAGCAUGUGGCUUAAUUCGACGCAACGCGAAGAACCUUACCAAGGCUUGACAUACACCGGAAAACCCUGGAGACAGGGUCCCCCUUGUGGUCGGUGUACAGGUGGUGCAUGGCUGUMGUCAGCUCGUGUCGUGAGAUGUUGGGUUAAGUCCCGCAACGAGCGCAACCCUUGUCCCGUGUUGCCAGCAGGCCCUUGUGGUGCUGGGGACUCACGGGAGACCGCCGGGGUCAACUCGGAGGAAGGUGGGGACGACGUCAAGUCAUCAUGCCCCUUAUGUCUUGGGCUGCACACGUGCUACAAUGGCCGGUACAAUGAGCUGCGAUACCGUGAGGUGGAGCGAAUCUCAAAAAGCCGGUCUCAGUUCGGAUUGGGGUCUGCAACUCGACCCCAUGAAGUCGGAGUCGCUAGUAAUCGCAGAUCAGCAUUGCUGSGGUGAAUACGUUCCCGGGCCUUGUACACACCGCCCGUCACGUCACGAAAGUCGGUAACACCCGAAGCCGG